CCGCCGGAGGUGGCAGGGACUUCUCCCCAGCCGGGAGACUGCCUCCUCCUGACAAGGGGCCCAACAGUCGGGGCCCUAAACCAGCUGUGGCAACCGCCCACCGCUGGCCAAAUGGAACGCUCCUCACGUCACCAGGUCGCUCCAGUAGUGGCUCGCGCCCCAUUGGCUGCUCGGCCUCGGCGCCUCCGCCCCUACCGCCCCUGCCCCGAACUACCAUUGGCAACUCUGAACGCCACUCGACGAUGCCUCCGCCCACUCCCCCACCCAUCUCUCUGCUACUUGCCCACCUGCCAAGCCACUGCCAGCCUCUCUUUGGGGUCGGAGUACCAGUAUGUGAAGUGUUGUCUUGUAGUGAUAUAGUUAGGCAGAGACAGAGGGGAAAGCUAGUGCCGGCGGGACAAGGAGGAGCCGGGGGCCAGCCUCCCCCCUCACACGCGGUGAGAUGCUGAAGCGAGGCUAGCUCAAGAUCCGGGUGCUCCCCCCAAACCGGGUCCGCCCUGGGCCUCUCCAGCCCUCUUGCAUUAAAAUCAACCGUUAACUCCGGAUUUUACCCUUCAGCGGCGUGAAGACAGUUUCUCUGCCUCCCAAGUCCCAUUCAGUAGCCAAGGACCCCACCUCGCUCCCCGACACCCUGGCCUCCAUCUGUAAGGCUUUCAGAACAAAACAAACAGAAAAGGGAAGUUGAAAGGGUAACUGUCCCCAAGAACACAGAAGAGUUUCUCAGUGCCAAAAACAAAUAAUUGGUAUUAAGAGAGAAACGUCAAUUCUCUCAGUCACUGCUGGCACGAGCCAUUGCUACUGAUCCAAGAAGAGUCUCAACCUUGGGAAGCCUUGAGAUUGGAAGGAGGAAAAUGGUGGAGGACAACAGCACUCUCCUAUAAGUGGACUUUCCGAGCUCCCUGCUAGUGUGGAGAGGAAGGCAGCUCCCUCGGAAAGCAGAGGAAGAUGGCCCAAGUACUUGGACCCCUGCACCCACGUUGAAGAUGUGGAUGAAGUUCCCAGCUCCUGGCUUCAGCCCGGCCCAGCCCCAGCCAUUGCAGCCAUUUCAGGAGUGAACCAUAUGCAAACUCUACCAGAGCAGAGAUUAUCUACCUGUGCUUAUCUCCGUGCUCAAAACAGUGACUGGCCCACAGCAGUAGGUACUUUUCAAGCAUCCUCCAAAACUCAUGCUGAAGCCCCAACCCUCAGUAGAAUGUAACUAUAUUUGAAGACAAGGUCUUUACUCAAGUGGUUAAAUUAAAAUGAUGCCACAGUGGGGCCCUACUCCAAUAUGACUGACAUCCUAAGAAGAAGAGGAAGAGACACUAGGAAUGCAUGUGCACAGAGGGACAAUCAUGGGAAGAGGCAAUAAGAGAGUGUCCAUUUGCAAGGGGACAUUUUUGGUCGUCACAACUCAGAGGGAAUGAUACUGGCAUCAAGGAUGCUGCUGGGGUCAAUGCUGUGCUGUGGUGAGUGAAGCUGCUGCCUGCAGUGCCAGAAUUCCAUAUGGGCGCUGGUUCGAGUCCCAGCUGCUCCACUUCCAAUCCAGCUCUCUGCUAGGGCCUGGGAAAACAGCAGAAAAUGGCCCAAGUCCUUGGGUCCCUGCACCCACGUGGGAGACCCAAAUGAAGCUCUUGGCUCCUGGCUUUGGCCUGACUCAGCUCUGGCCUUUGCAGCCAUUUAGGGAAUGAACCAGCACACAGAAGCUCUCUCUCUCUCUCCCUCACUCUCUGUAAC